rnacentral:rRNA from 1 species
AACUGUCUCUUGCAGGCAAUCGGUGAAAUUGAUCUCCCUGUGCAAAAGCAGGGAUAAACCCAUAAGACAAGAAGACCCUGUGGAACUUCAAAAUCAGCAACCAUCCCAUAUUACAUAAACACCCACCGGGCCCACUAACACAUGGGCACUGGCUUGCAUUUUUUCGGUUGGGGCGACCUUGGAGAAAAACAAAUCCUCCAAAAAUUAGACCUUACCUCUAGACUAAGAGCGACGGCUCAACGUGCUAAUAGCAACCAGACCCAAUAUAAUUGAUCAAUGGACCAAGCUACCCCAGGGAUAACAGCGCAAUCUCCUUUAAGAGUCCAUAUCGACAAGGAGGUUUACGACCUCGAUGUUGGAUCAGGACAUCCUAGUGGUGCAGGAGCUACUAAGGGUUCGUUUGUUCAACGAUUAACAGUCCUACGUGAU